AUGGAGAUAUUCAAGGGUGAAGAGCUAUUCUGGCAACGACGCGGGGCCCAGAAGUGGCUGCUUGAGGGCAAUGCCAAUACGUACUUCCAGGCGAUCGCCAAUGCCCGUCGUAGGAAGUGCUCCAUCCCGUGUCUCUGGGAGGGGGACACCCUCCUGGAACACCCGGGUGAGAUUAGAGCCCACAUUUACUCAUUCUUUAAGGAGCUCUUCACGGCGGAACCUCGGGGUGGGGUGUCCCUGGAAGAGGGCUUCUGGUCGGCUGCGGACAGAGUCUCUGAUAGCGAGAAUACAGAGCUUACCGUCCCAUUCUCCCCGGAAGAGGUGGGCAGGGCCAUCGCCUCUAUGAAGGCGGGGUCGGCCCCGAGGCCGGAUGGCUUGCCGGUGGUCUUCUUCUAGAAGUUCUAGAACGUUCUUAAACCAGUGAUCAUGCCCAUGUUCCAUGAGUUCUACAUUGGAACCUUUGACAUGUCUCGAAUUAACUAUGGGGUCAUCACCCUUAUCCCCAAAAUAGUUGGGGUUACAUAUAUCCGCCACUUUCGACCUAUCACGGUGAUUAAUGUGUUUGAGCACAUUUUCUAA
rnacentral:rRNA from 1 species